GGUGCAGCCUGUCUGACCCCUGAGAUCAAGGUCUGAGCCACCAUGCCCUCCUGCCUCCCACUGUGCAAAGAAGAAAGCAGAGGUCCCUGGAGAAGGGGCAGGAUUUGCCUUGAGUCACACACCAGGGCAUGGGUUCAGAUGCCCAAUUGAGGCCCCCUUCAGACAUACUGGGAAAGGUCUUCCCUGGGUCCCGCUGGGGCAGGGUGAGUUGCUGGGGAUCAUCUAGCAUUUGUCUGGCAUUAGUGUUGAGUGGGAAAAGGCCAGGGCUGCUGUCUCCAUCCUGCUGUCCUCCCUUUCCACCAGGGCCAUGUGGAAGAGCUGUGGGGCCUGGCCACACACCCCAGUCGGGCCCAGUUUGUGACCUGCGGGCAGGAUAAGCUGGUGCAUCUAUGGAGCUCAGAUUCCCACCAGCCCCUGUGGAGCAGGAUCAUCGAGGACCCUGCCCGCUCAGCCGGCUUCCACCCCAGUGGCUCUGUCCUGGCUGUGGGUACAGUGACUGGCAGAUGGCUGCUGCUGGACACGGAGACCCAUGACCUGGUGGCUAUCCACACAGAUGGCAAUGAACAGAUCUCAGUGGUCAGCUUCUCCCCAGACGGGGCGUACCUGGCCGUGGGCUCCCACGACAACUUGGUGUACGUGUACACGGUGGACCAGGGCGGCCGCAAG
rnacentral:sRNA from 1 species